AACACCUUGCAUUUAGAUUUGCAUUUUGAUUAGUUGUUUCUGUUUGGCUGACAGAUUUUGUUUUGUUGAUAUCACAAUGGCCAUACGUGUCUGUUGCAGGACACACCUGAAUCAUUGUGCUUCCCCACCAGUACUUGUGCAUUAGUUCAGAAGCAGCAUUUCACCAACUGGAGGUGCUCCAGGAUCAGUAAGCCAUGUGGAGCUAGUCUCUUGGUUUUCUCUUCUUUUCCUCAGUCCACACUGGCUGUGCCAAGUGCCAGCUGGCUCCCAAAGCACAUGCUGCCCUCCUGGCUAUUUGGUAGCAGAUCCAAUAGCCUCUAUGUAGUAAAAGCAGCCAGGCUGAGGAUGUGCUGCCUUUUGUGCUGGCUAGCACUGAUUUAGAGUAUGGCAAACAAACAGCUCUCUGAAGAUAAAAUAAACAGCAGAGAUUGCCAGGAGAUAUGUUACAAGAAUUUACUGGUUAAAUUUCUAGUCUCAAACUGUGACAGUGGUUUUGCAAGCUCAUUUCUGAGCUCAUUGUGUAGCUUGGUAAAACCUACACAGUGAGACAAAGCAGGGGGGUAUUGACCUGGAAUGCCUAGGGGCAUGUGAUGUUAGAGGAACCCUUGUAAAAGCUGGUUAUAUGCUAUUGACAUAGUGCAACGUGGAUAUUUCUCUCACAACCAAUAUCUAGCAGGCUUUGUUUCUUUUCAGUUCUUACUGCUCUACUCUUCUAUCAAUUGGCAAUACACUGCAUUCAUCUUCCCCACGCUGAGUCUGCUGUGCUCCUGGUGGUAGUUGUUUGGUGCGGCGGGGUGCGCACCUGGCAGCUGCCCAUGGCCAACCAACAGCACUGGGGCUCUUAAGGCAUCUGUACAAAGUUCUUUUAAGUCAAUGAGAUGCUACAAAUCUGAGAAUGCCUGGGCUAUGCCACACUGAGAAGAAAGAUUUAAACAAAGAGUGAUGUUAUGCUUACUCCUGAAGAGGAUACGUGGAAUGAGAUGUGUGGACAGUCCUGUGGAUGUGUCACGUGAACGUUAUGUGAUGUACAGUCACUGCUUGGUUUAAUCACUGCCAUGUGUACCCUUCUAAUAAAACAGAUCACUAUGUGAUUAGUUACGGUGUAGUAAUUUGUAAGAGCAAAACUUUGUUUCCUGCCUAAAGGGAACUGGGAAGAGCUAUAAACAUGAAAUAGCAGUGCUACCUGUGGAAUUUAACUGCUGUUUUGCAAUAUCCGUUAUGAUUAACAGCAUGCCACGCAGCGUAUUUCUUAGUAUGGAUGCUUUGGGAAUACAAGGCGUAAUGCUUAGUAGUCAUUAAAAGCUGAAC
rnacentral:lncRNA from 1 species